UACGAAGGGGGCUAGCGUUGCUCGGAAUUACUGGGCGUAAAGGGCGCGUAGGCGGACAGUUUAGUCAGAGGUGAAAGCCCAGGGCUCAACCUUGGAAUUGCCUUUGAUACUGGCUGUCUUGAGUUCGGGAGAGGUGAGUGGAAUGCCGAGUGUAGAGGUGAAAUUCGUAGAUAUCGGCGGAACACCAGUGGCGAAGGCGACUCACUGGCCCGAUACUGACGCUGAGGCGCGAAAGCGUGGGGAGCAAACAGGGAUUAAGAUAUCCCUAGU
rnacentral:rRNA from 1 species